UUGUCGGGAGGGUUUGGAGUUCUUGCUUUGCGUUGACCCUGCAGAAUUGAGCCCGACUUGGGUUGCAUGCUUUCGUGGUACCGACCUUGUGUCUCCUCACCUCUUCCCUCCUUGCACCGACAGUCAAGCCACAGGAUGCCGGGCGUCUCAGCCCAUGGCCUCUCGUGUGAGGAGAGAAGGCAACUGGCUGUGGACCUCACCCGCGUCCUAGCUCUCUACCGUUCCAUCCUGGACGCCUACAUUAUCGUGAGGCCACUGGGCUGAGGGCGGGGUGCUUCUUAUGGUGGGGUUGAUUAGGAGCCCACUGCAAAGCUUUUAUCUCUUCCUUAUGAGAAAAGCUGAAAACUAGAAUAAUUCCUACCCAGCCUUCUGUCUCUAAUACUUAAAUUUUAGUUGGUUAUUUGUAAUCCCCGAGAUUUUC
rnacentral:lncRNA from 1 species